GAUGAAGAACGCAGCGAAAUGCGAUAAGUAGUGUGAAUUGCAGAAUUCAGUGAAUCAUCGAAUCUUUGAACGCACAUUGCGCCCUUUGGUAUUCCUUAGGGCAUGCCUGUUCGAGCGUCAUUUAAACCUUCAAGCCCCCGGCUUGUGUUGGGGACCUGCGGCUGCCGCAGGCCCUGAAAACCAGUGGCGGGCUCGCUAGUCACUCCGAGCGUAGUAAUACAUCUCGCUCAGGGCGUGCUGCGGGUUCCGGCCGUUAAAAAGCCUUAUUUACCCAAGGUUGACCUCGGAUCAGGUAGGAAGACCCGCUGAACUUAAGCAUAUCAAUAAGCGGAGGA
rnacentral:misc_RNA from 1 species